rnacentral:piRNA from 1 species
UGGCUAAGCCUCCUUGCCGGACCCCA